rnacentral:rRNA from 1 species
UACGUAGGUGACAAGCGUUGUCCGGAUUUACUGGGCGUAAAGAGCGCGCAGGCGGUCGAUCAAGUCGAGUGUGAAAGCCCCCGGCUCAACUGGGGAGGGUCAUUCGAUACUGAUCGACUCGAAGGCAGGAGAGGGUAGUGGAAUUCCCGGUGUAGUGGUGAAAUGCGUAGAUAUCGGGAGGAACACCAGUGGCGAAGGCGACUACCUGGCCUGUUCUUGACGCUGAGGCGCGAAAGCUAGGGGAGCAGACGGG